GGAGGGGGCUAGCGUUGUUCGGAAUUACUGGGCGUAAAGGGCGCGUAGGCGGUAUGCCAUGUCAGGGGUGAAAGGCCUGGGCUCAACCCAGGAACUGCCUUUGAAACUGGCAAACUAGAGUCCGAUAGAGGAUGGCGGAAUUCCCAGUGUAGAGGCGAAAUUCGUAGAUAUUGGGAAGAACACCAGUGGCGAAGGCGGCCAUCUGGAUCGGCACUGACGCUGAGGCGCGAAAGCGUGGGGAGCAAACAGGGAUUAGAUACCCUGGUAGUCCACGCCGUAAACGAUGUGUGCUAGACGUUGGGGGCCCUUAGGCCCCUGGGUGUCGCAGCUAACGCGUUAAGCACACCGCCUGGGGAGUACGGCCGCAAGGUUA
rnacentral:rRNA from 1 species